GCAGAGUCCGCUCAGGCCAUCGCUGCACCAGUUCGCCCACCGACAGAGGUCUGCAGCAGGCGAAGGCGGCCUCCAGUAGCGCCCCGUAAAGCUCCCUGGGAACCCAUCGAAGCCAGAAAAAUUUCAGGACAUCCAAUCCGCUGAAGGAGGGCCUUUUCCACUGCGAUGAAGUUUCAGUAUUCUGAAAGCGGUUAUAGACCUAUGUUGCAUAGAAUGGAAACAAAUUAUAUAAAUAAUCAUUUAUGGCUCUUCAGUAGUGACUGCAGGAUGGACCACUGGUUUUGGCUUUGGAACGUAAAUGGCUCGCAUUAAACGUGCUUUGGUCGCCAUUAUAAUAUCUUCAAAAUUCUCUUCAUCCUCUUCACCAAUCUGAAAAAGCAGAGUGUUUAAGAGCCAAUAACACAAAUUAGUAUGAUUGUUGCAAAUGUGCUUAACAUAAAAUUGUUUUAAAAGUAGCAAAAAAAAAAAAAACGCAGAUAUUUUGCACGUAAAUAAACAGGGUGUCCUGGUGUACAAUGUGGAUAA